AGCGAACGCUGGCGGCAGGCUUAACACAUGCAAGUCGAACGGGCUUCUUCGGAAGUCAGUGGCAGACGGGUGAGUAACACGUGGGAACGUGCCCUUCGGUUCGGAAUAACUCAGGGAAACUUGAGCUAAUACCGGAUACGCCCUUUUGGGGAAAGGUUUACUGCCGAAGGAUCGGCCCGCGUCUGAUUAGCUUGUUGGUGGGGUAACGGCCUACCAAGGCGACGAUCAGUAGCUGGUCUGAGAGGCUGAUCAGCCACACUGGGACUGAGACACGGCCCAGACUCUUACGGGAGGCAGCAGUGGGGAAUAUUGGACAAUGGGCGCAAGCCUGAUCCAGCCAUGCCGCGUGAGUGCUGAAGGCCUUAGGGUUGUAAAGCUCUUUUGUCCGGGACGAUAAUGACGGUACCGGAAGAAUAAGCCCCGGCUAACUUCGUG
rnacentral:rRNA from 1 species